rnacentral:lncRNA from 1 species
CUUUCAAACCCGGCCGGCCCGAGUGGAGUCAGCUCAGUCCCGGCAGCCGCCGCGCGAGGAAAUGGCCGAGGGGCCGGAGCCACAGACAAGUGUGCCAUUUGACCAUCUCGGGAAGUGAGGAGAGCCCCCAUUGGACCAGUGUUUGCUUAGUGUCUUCACUGUAUUUUCUUUAAAAAAAAAAAAAAAAAAAAAAAGGCAAAAAUAAACCACUCAAAAGAACAACAAAAAAACCCAGCACAAAACCGACGAUGGAGUUUGUUUCUUUGAUUUCUUUGCCAAUGGCAAGAAGAUGAGAUGCCCUCAGCACUGAGGAUUCUUGCCCCCUUGUGGUGCCCGCUGCCCCCAACCUUCAGGCUGCCAGAUGCUCCCCUGACAACACCAGGCUACAGGAGCCAGACGCCAGGGCCUGCCCGGCCUCCUGUUCCUGCCCCCACCCACCACCUGCCUGGAGAGGAACGGGUCGGGUCCGUGUCGGAGAAGUGACAGGUCCCAGAGCCAAAGCCGGCCCUCAAGCAUCAUCAGGGAGUGGUGUAGUCAGUUGAAGGCAGUUCCCACCGAGUUUUCCGAGCCUCAGAAUCCAGGAGAUACGCACAGCCCCACCCACUCUGAGAUGACAGUGGCUGACUUCCCGUGCUGGGCUUUUCCAUU